UACAGAGGUCUCAAGCGUUGUUCGGAUUCAUUGGGCGUAAAGGGUGCGUAGGCGGCGCGGUAAGUCGGGUGUGAAAUCUUGGAGCUUAACUCCGAAACUGCAUUCGAUACUGCCGUGCUUGAGGACUGGAGAGGAGACUGGAAUUACGGUGUAGCGGUGAAAUGCGUAGAUAUCGUAAGGAAGACCGUGGCGAAGGCGGGUCUCUGGA
rnacentral:rRNA from 1 species